AUACGAAGGGGGCUAGCGUUGUUCGGAAUCACUGGGCGUAAAGCGCGCGUAGGUGGAUCAAUUAGUUGAGGGUGAAAUCCCGGGGCUCAACCUCGGAACUGCCUUCAAUACUGUUGAUCUUGAGACCGAGAGAGGUGAGUGGAAUUCCUAGUGUAGAGGUGAAAUUCGUAGAUAUUAGGAAGAACACCAGUGGCGAAGGCGGCUCACUGGCUCGGUACUGACGCUGAGGUGCGAAAGCGUGCGGAGCAAACAGGAUUAGAAACCCUAGUAGUCC
rnacentral:rRNA from 1 species